UACGGGGGGGGCAAGCGUUGUUCGGAAUUACUGGGCGUAAAGGGCGCGUAGGCGGCCUGCUAAGUCGGAUGUGAAAUCCCUCGGCUCAACCGAGGAACUGCAUCCGAUACUGGCGGGCUUGAAUCCGGGAGAGGGAUGUGGAAUUCCAGGUGUAGCGGUGAAAUGCGUAGAUAUCGGGAGGAACAUCUGUGGCGAAGGCGACACCCUGGACCAGCACUGACACUGAGGCACGAAAGCGUGGGGAGCAAACAGG
rnacentral:rRNA from 1 species